UACGUAGGGUGCGAGCGUUAAUCGGAAUUACUGGGCGUAAAGCGUGCGCAGGCGGUUCGCAAAGUCUGAUGUGAAAGCCCCGGGCUCAACCUGGGAACUGCAUUGGAAACUAGGAGACUUGAGUAUAGUAGGGGUAGAGGGAAUUUCCAGUGGAGCGGUGAAAUGCGUAGAUAUUGGAAAGAACACCGAUGGCGAAGGCACUCUACUGGGCUAUUACUGACACUCAGAGACGAAAGCUAGGGGAGCAAAUGGG
rnacentral:rRNA from 1 species